AUUAGCCAUGCAUGUCUCAGUACAAGCCAAAUUAAGGUGAAACCGCGAAAGGCUCAUUAAAUCAGUUAUGGUUCCUUAGAUCGUACCCACAUUUACUUGGAUAACUGUGGUAAUUCUAGAGCUAAUACAUGCAAACAGAGCUCCGACCGGAGACGGAAGGAGCGCUUUUAUUAGAUCAAAACCAAUCGGUGGCGGGCAACCGUCACCGUACACCUUGGUGACUCUGAAUAACUUUUUGCUGAUCGCACGGUCUCGCACCGGCGACGCAUCUUUCAAAUGUCUGCCUUAUCAACUGUCGAUGGUAGGUUCUGCGCCUACCAUGGUUGUAACGGGUAACGGGGAAUCAGGGUUCGAUUCCGGAGAGGGAGCCUGAGAAACGGCUACCACAUCCAAGGAAGGCAGCAGGCGCGCAAAUUACCCACUCCCGGCACGGGGAGGUAGUGACGAAAAAUAACGAUACGGGACUCAUCCGAGGCCCCGUAAUCGGAAUGAGUACACUCUAAACCCUUUAACGAGGAUCAAUUGGAGGGCAAGUCUGGUGCCAGCAGCCGCGGUAACACCAGCUCCAAAAGCGUAUAUUAAAGUUGUUGCGGUUAAAAAGCUCGUAGUCGAAUUUGUGUCUCGCGCCGCCGGUUCAUCGCUCGCGGUGUCAACUGGCGUGUCCGCGGGACGUCCUGCCGGUGGGCUUAGCUCUUCGGGGCGGCCCAAUUUCAAUCCCACCGCGGUGCUCUUUACUGAGUGUCGAGGUGGGCCGGCACGUUUACUUUGAACAAAUUAGAGUGCUUAAAGCAGGCUAAAACAUCGCCUGAAUACUGUGUGCAUGGAAUAAUGGAAUAGGACCUCGGUUCUAUUUUGUUGGUUUUCGGAACCCCGAGGUAAUGAUUAAUAGGAACGGAUGGGGGCAUUCGUAUUGCGACGUUAGAGGUGAAAUUCUUGGAUCGUCGCAAGACGGACAGAAGCGAAAGCAUUUGCCAAAAACGCUUUCAUUGAUCAAGAACGAAGUUAGAGGUU
rnacentral:rRNA from 1 species